CUGUUAGAUAAUAUCGUGCUCUGGACGUAUACAGGAGGUUCCUCAUGAGGGCCCAAUGUGUGAUCUCUUGUGGUCUGAUCGGAUGACCGGUGUGGAUGGGGAAUAUCUCCUCGUGGUGCUGGAUACACCUUUGGACAGGAUAUUGCUGACAGUUUAAACCAUACUAAUGGGCUCAGUCUUAUUUUAGAGCUCACCAGCUUGUAUGGAAGGAUACAAUUGGUGUCAGGAGAAGAAUGUGGUGACAGUGUUCAGUGCACCAAAUUACUGCUACCGGUGUGGAAAUAUGGCUGCAAUUCUUGAAAUUGGGAGAAUAUGGAGCGAACUUUCUUCAAUUUGACCCAGCUCCUCGUCAGAUUGAACGGAUAAUACACGCAGGACCCCAGACU